rnacentral:rRNA from 1 species
UCGAGAAUCUUCCGCAAUGGACGAAAGUCUGACGGAGCGACGCCGCGUGAUGGAUGAAGUCCCUCUGGGACGUAAACAUCUUUUAUGAGGGAGAAAGUUUAUUGAUAGUACCUCACGAAUAAGGGGUUGCUAAACUCGUGCCAGCAGCAGCGGUAAUACGAGUGCCCCGAGCGUUAUCCGGAAUCAUUGGGCGUAAAGGGUGUGUAGGUGGCAUUGUUAGUCACACGUUAAACUCUGGGGCUUAACCCCAGAUCUGCGUGUGAUACGGCAAAGCUAGAGGAUGGCAGGGAUGUAUGGAACUCAUGGAGUAGGGGUGAAAUCCGUUGAUAUCAUGGGGAACACCGAAAGCGAAGGCAGUACAUUGGGCCACUCCUGACACUGAAACACGAAAGCGUGGGUAGCGAAUGGGAUUAGAUACCCGUGUAGUCCCUGAGCGGGCUGGCAAGGCGCAU